rnacentral:rRNA from 1 species
UGAGGAAUAUUGGUCAAUGGGCGAGAGCCUGAACCAGCCAAGUCGCGUGAAGGAAGACGGUUCUAUGGAUUGUAAACUUCUUUUGUAAGGGAAUAAAAAAGAGUACGUGUACUCUAUUGUAUGUACUUUACGAAUAAGGAUCGGCUAACUCCGUGCCAGCAGCCGCGGUAAUACGGAGGAUCCAAGCGUUAUCCGGAUUUAUUGGGUUUAAAGGGUGCGUAGGCGGACUAAUUAGUCAGCGGUGAAAGUUUGCAGCUUAACUGUAAAAUUGCCGUUGAAACUGUUAGUCUUGAGUGUAAAUGAGGUAGGCGGAAUGUGUUGUGUAGCGGUGAAAUGCUUAGAUAUAACACAGAACACCAAUUGCGAAGGCAGCUUACUAGAAUACAACUGACGCUGAGGCACGAAAGCGUGGGGAUCAAACA